rnacentral:rRNA from 1 species
CCUACGGGUGGCAGCAGUGAGGAAUAUUGGUCAAUGGGCGGGAGCCUGAACCAGCCAAGUCGCGUGAGGGAAGACGGUCCUAUGGGUUGUAAACCUCUUUAGGCGGGGAGCAAUGCCGGGCACGCGUGCCCGGAGGUAUAGUACCCACAGAAUAAGCAUCGGCUAACUCCGUCCCAGCAGCCGCGGUAAUACGGAGGAGCGGAGCUUUAUCCGGAUUUAUUGGGUUUAAGGGGUGCGUAGGCGGAUUUUUAAGUCGUUGGUAAAAUGGCCGGGCGAAACCGGGGCCUGCCGUUGAAACUGGGGAUCUUGAGUGGGCGAGAAGUAUGCGGAAUGCGUGGUGUAGCGGUGAAAUGCAGAGGUAUCACGAAGAACGCCGAUUGCGAAGGCAGCAUACCGGCGCCCGACUGACGCUGAGGCACGAAAGCGUGGGGAUCGAACAGGAUUAGAUACCCGAGUAGUC